UGUCCACGGCGUGAUCAGCGAUGUUUUUACGGUAAAAUGCGCACGUGUUUACAGGCGAACCGAAUCGUGGUUCACGGAAUUUUGAACAAAACAUGAAGGAUAGCUUGCAGAAAGUGCACUUCUCUGUGUGUGCUGGAAGUUUAUACAUGUGUUCUCUAGAUGUGCCGGUGAUUAAAUUUUCAUUCAAAGUUGUACUUGAUUGAGCCUUGAAAAGACGUAUAGGAGCAUGAUGCAGUCUGCAACUAAACGUUACGAUGUACCCCGGGAGGAGACCGGCGGGGAAGUGAAGGGGAUGGUGCUUGUCUUGAUAUGUUAUUUCUAUGGAAUAUUACUUUUCUUCCUAUUUGGAGCUGUAACAAAAAUUGGACAGUUCUUCUUAAGAAAAGUUAAAGACCAAGUGAAGGAAGUACAAGUUUGGAAAAUGGAGGAGAAAUCUGAUAAAUAUGACAUAAAUCACAAUGUCCGGCAUGCAGAUAAACAUGUCUGGAUUGGGCAGCGAUGACCUGUGACGUCAUCACCUGGACAUUCCAUGUGCCAAAGUAUGCUGAAAUAGGGCUUCAUCUAACAAAAAUGUGGCUUAGUGCAAUAUAGUUCAUAUUCCAUUCCCAAACUGUGAGGAUGAUUUAUGAAAUGAAAGAAAAAGGAAUCUAAAAUUCGUUUUUGGAAGAGUUGAAUCUCAAAAUUUCACGUCCGCUAAUUCUGAAAAGAGCCAUCCUAGACAGUUUCCGUGAUGACUAUUCCAUCGCGCUCUUCCUUUUGGUCAAACCAGUUGACCAAGAUAUACUUGACUGUGACUCUCAGAACAGAAUAUUAGUACCACUGUACCUCACUGUAGUGAUGUGACAAAUUGAUACCUUGCUCACAUUCCAUUAUGUAUAUGUAUUUGUGAUAAAAUCACUCAUGUCAACUGACAAUACAAUUUAUACCUUUAUAUAUUUGUUUUACUUCGUUAUUAAAUUGUUUUUUCAAACUA